CCGCGUCCCGUCCCCCCACGCGAGGUUGCUUCUCUCCCUCGCCCUAGCCGCCGCCCUACUCUCUCCCUCGCUCUAGCCGCCGCCACCGCCCUACUCUCGCCCUCGCUCUAGCCGCCGCCGCGGCUUUGCACGCCGUCACAGCGGCCACCCUGCCCUCCCCCACGCCGAACUUGGAGGGGAUGCUCGCACGCGGUGGGGCUGUACAAGGCCAUCUCCCAUGUCCUCGAGAACUUCGACGUCAUCACCCACACCAAUUCCAGUGCCUCCCCAAGUGGUAACUUCGUCCCAGCUCUAUCACCUCUUAUUGGCUACAGGUUGAUGGCCGCAGUGGGUUUCUAGGGUUUAAUUAGGACGCCUAUGCUCGUGUGGUGUUACCUCUUAGUGGCUACAGGUUGAUUGCUGACUGGUGUCGUUUGGCAGCCUCGGUGUGAAUUGCAGGCAGGACGUUCUCAGGCAGUUCUCGAUUGUGAGUAUGGAGCUGUUCAACAUUGUGGAGGACAUUAAGAAUGUGUCCAAGGUGUUUGUUGUGUACCUCCGAAAUGUCAAUGCCAAGAAUGCUACAAUACAACACAUUUUUUGUGUGGCUGCAAAGUUAUUAAUUCUAGAGGAGCAAGAUGGAGGUUAUUGUCAUCAUCUCAGUUGUCAUUCUUUUGGCACUAGGAGCUCUCUUUGUGAUCCCAAAGUCCCAAAAUAAAGACAUCUAGGAGCUUUAUGAAGGAAGAGAUAUCUAAACAUAACACAAGGAAGAUUGUUGGAUAAUCAUCAAGUACAAGGUUUGUGAUGUCACUCCUUAUGUGUGAGGAACAUCCAGGGGGAGAUGCCAUUCUAAAUGAUGCUGGUGUUGAUUCCACGCAGGGUUUUUUUUGGGCCACAACACGGCACUAGGGUCUACGAUAUCAUUGAGUAUUUCUGCAUCAGUCAGUUGAAGGCUUCAUGAUCAUGACAUAUAGGGUAGCUUGUAUUGAGGCCUUGUUUACUUCCCAAAAAAUUUUGCAAAAUUUUUCAGAUUCCCCGUCACAUCGAAUCUUUAGACGUAUGCAUGGAGUAUUAAAUAUAGACGAAAAUAAAAACUAAUUGCAUAGUU